UAUAAGCACUUUAUACUGUGAAACUGCGAAUGGCUCAUUAAAUCAGUUAUCGUUUAUUUGAUAGUACCUUACUACAUGGAUACCUGUGGUAAUUCUAGAGCUAAUACAUGCUAAAAACCCCGACUUCGGAAGGGGUGUAUUUAUUAGAUAAAAAACCAAUGCCCUUCGGGGCUCCUUGGUGAUUCAUAAUAACUUAACGAAUCGCAUGGCCUUGCGCCGGCGAUGGUUCAUUCAAAUUUCUGCCCUAUCAACUUUCGAUGGUAGGAUAGUGGCCUACCAUGGUGGCAACGGGUAACGGGGAAUUAGGGUUCGAUUCCGGAGAGGGAGCCUGAGAAACGGCUACCACAUCCAAGGAAGGCAGCAGGCGCGCAAAUUACCCAAUCCCGACACGGGGAGGUAGUGACAAUAAAUACUGAUACGGGGCUCUUUCGGGUCUCGUAAUUGGAAUGAGUACAAUCUAAAUCCCUUAACGAGGAACAAUUGGAGGGCAAGUCUGGUGCCAGCAGCCGCGGUAAUUCCAGCUCCAAUAGCGUAUAUUAAAGUUGUUGCAGUUAAAAAGCUCGUAGUUGAACCUUGGGUCUGGCUGGCCGGUCCGCCUCACCGCGAGUACUGGUCCGGCUGGACCUUUCCUUCUGGGGAAUCCCAUGGCCUUCACUGGCUGUGGGGGGAACCAGGACUUUUACUGUGAAAAAAUUAGAGUGUUCAAAGCAGGCCUUUGCUCGAAUACAUUAGCAUGGAAUAAUAGAAUAGGACGUGCGGU
rnacentral:rRNA from 1 species